rnacentral:rRNA from 1 species
AAGAAAGAAGUUUAUAACUUAAGGAAUUAUAACAAAGAAGUAACACAUAAUAAGGUUGCCUUAUUUAGUGUGUAUCAAUCGAGUUUCUGACCUAUCAGCUUUUGAUGUUAGGGUAUUGGCCUAACAUGGCUAUGACGGGUAACGGGGAAUUAGAGUUCGAUUCCGGAGAGGGAGCCUGAGAAAUAGCUACCACAUCUAAGGAAGGCAGCAGGCGCGUAAAUUACCCAAUUCUAAAGAAGAGAGGUAGUGACAAGAAAUAACAAUACAAGGCCAUUUCAUGGUUUUGUAAUUGGAAUGAUGGGAAUUUAAAACCUUCCCAAAAUUCAAUUGGAGGGCAAGUCUGGUGCCAGCAGCCGCGGUAAUUCCAGCUCCAAUAGCGUAUAUUAAAAUUGUUGCAGUUAAAACGCUCGUAGUUGAAUUUCAAAGAAUCAAUAUUUUAAGUAAUAAUUUUGCUAUAAGAUGCUUAGACAAUACAACGUAUCUGUUCUUUGCAUUCCUUAUGCAAAAUGUGUUCUUAUUAUAAAAAGGAUUCUUUUUAAAAUCUCUUUUGCUAUUUUUUAGUAUUGGAGAUUUUGUUACUUUGAGUAAAUUAGAGUGUUCAAAGCAAACAGUUAAAGCAUUUUU